GGCUGCUCGAGUGACUGGUC
rnacentral:siRNA from 1 species